ACCCGGAUAUGUAGCAAGCGCCUAGCCUUUAGCAAUAUAAACGGGGCUCUCCACAGACAAACGGCAGAUUUCUAACAAUCAUAUUUCCAAUCGAUUCAUCAUUUUAUCGCAAGUCUAACACGAAAUACAGAACCGUUUAAGCUUCACAUUGUGUUUCUAGGUUGACGUUGUUUAGGCUCCACGACGUCCGCAGUGGUUAGCUCUCACAGCCACCAUGGGCUAUCGCUAACUAGCCGCCCUGUCACCUUGGCUGUUAUCUCCAGAACUGCUCACGCUCCAGCCUCAACGUCCUUGAGACCAACUGGAAAUAUACGGGUGAGACUGGAGACUGAGGAAACGGACCAAACACAGGAGAUUAGUAGUGGUGGCUCAAAGUGAAGAGGAGAUAUGUCCUCCCUCUUCCAGCCUCUCACAGUCCGCUGCGGACACCUCUCCUCCAUCUCCUCCCACUACCUCUACGUGGGCUCUGGUCACACCGCUGCGUCCUGCACCUCUACCACCACGGAGGAGACAGCUGGAGCAGCCGCUGUCUGCGUUCCAGAAAUCAAUCAUGUCCUCUAUCCAAAAGGAAAAGGAGAAUGCACUGGCUGUUGACGAGGAUGAGCAUUUUAUGCUCAGCCUCGUCCCAUCGUUGAGGAGGCUGUCACACCAAAAAAAGGCCCAGGCGCGCAUGAGGAUGCAGCAGGUCCUGUACGAUGUGGAGUUUGGAGAGUAAUGAAUUUGUAAUCAAUUUCUAUUAAGAUUUAAGAUUUUUUUAAAUGUGUAAAUAAUAUUUUGUAAUAAUUUUCUAUUUAGAUUUAGUUUAAGCUUUAAGAUUUUUUAAAUGUGUACAUAUCUUGGAAUCAUUUUCUAUUUAGAUUUAGUAUGAGCUAUACAAAUUAUUUAAAUGUGUACAUAAUAUCUUGGUAUCUUCAACUCACACUCCGACGGAGCUUUUCUGGCAUUCCUGUGGAGGUUGGGGGCAUUGAGCCGGAGUGGGCGGUGUUCAAAGCCUCCAUUGCUGAAGCUGCGGUGGCUAGCUGUGGCCUCAGGGUC